rnacentral:rRNA from 1 species
UACAGGGGGGGCAAGCGUUGUUCGGAAUUACUGGGCGUAAAGGGCUCGUAGGUGGCCAACUAAGUCGGACGUGAAAUCCCUCAGCUUAACUGGGGAACUGCAUCCGAUACUGGAUGGCUUGAGUUUGGGAGAGGGAUGCGGAAUUCCAGGUGUAGCGGUGAAAUGCGUAGAUAUCUGGAGGAACACCGGUGGCGAAGGCGGCAUCCUGGACCAAUACUGACACUGAGGAGCGAAAGCCAGGGGAGCAAACGGG